rnacentral:rRNA from 1 species
CAUAGGUUAAUGAGGCGAACCGGGGGAACUGAAACAUCUAAGUACCCCGAGGAAAAGAAAUCAACCGAGAUUCCCCCAGUAGCGGCGAGCGAACGGGGAGCAGCCCAGAGCCUGAAUCAGUGUGUGUGUUAGUGGAAGCGUCUGGAAAGGCGCGCGAUACAGGGUGACAGCCCCGUACACAAAAAUGCACAUACUGUGAGCUCGAUGAGUAGGGCGGGACACGUGGUAUCCUGUCUGAAUAUGGGGGGACCAUCCUCCAAGGCUAAAUACUCCUGACUGACCGAUAGUGAACCAGUACCGUGAGGGAAAGGCGAAAAGAACCCCGGCGAGGGGAGUGAAAAAGAACCUGAAACCGUGUACGUACAAGCAGUGGGAGCACGCUUAGGCGUGUGACUGCGUACCUUUUGUAUAAUGGGUCAGCGACUUAUAUUCUGUAGCAAGGUUAACCGAAUAGGGGAGCCGAAGGGAAACCGAGUCUUAACUGGGCGUUAAGUUGCAGGGUAUAGACCCGAAACCCGGUGAUCUAGCCAUGGGCAGGUUGAAGGUUGGGUAACACUAACUGGAGGACCGAACCGACUAAUGUUGAAAAAUUAGCGGAUGACUUGUGGCUGGGGGUGAAAGGCCAAUCAAACCGGGAGAUAGCUGGUUCUCCCCGAAAGCUAUUUAGGUAGCGCCUCGUGAAUUCAUCUCCGGGGGUAGAGCACUGUUUCGGCAAGGGGGUCAUCCCGACUUACCAACCCGAUGCAAACUGCGAAUACCGGAGAAUGUUAUCACGGGAGACACACGGCGGGUGCUAACGUCCGUCGUGAAGAGGGAAACAACCCAGACCGCCAGCUAAGGUCCCAAAGUCAUGGUUAAGUGGGAAACGAUGUGGGAAGGCCCAGACAGCCAGGAUGUUGGCUUAGAAGCAGCCAUCAUUUAAAGAAAGCGUAAUAGCUCACUGGUCGAGUCGGCCUGCGCGGAAGAUGUAACGGGGCUAAACCAUGCACCGAAGCUGCGGCAGCGACGCUGAUGCGUUGUUGGGUAGGGGAGCGUUCUGUAAGCCUGUGAAGGUGUGCUGUGAGGCAUGCUGGAGGUAUCAGAAGUGCGAAUGCUGACAUAAGUAACGAUAAAGCGGGUGAAAAGCCCGCUCGCCGGAAGACCAAGGGUUCCUGUCCAACGUUAAUCGGGGCAGGGUGAGUCGACCCCUAAGGCGAGGCCGAAAGGCGUAGUCGAUGGGAAACAGGUUAAUAUUCCUGUACUUGGUGUUACUGCGAAGGGGGGACGGAGAAGGCUAUGUUGGCCGGGCGACGGUUGUCCCGGUUUAAGCGUGUAGGCUGGUUUUCCAGGCAAAUCCGGAAAACUAAGGCUGAGGCGUGAUGACGAGGCACUACGGUGCUGAAGCAACAAAUGCCCUGCUUCCAGGAAAAGCCUCUAAGCAUCAGGUAACAUCAAAUCGUACCCCAAACCGACACAGGUGGUCAGGUAGAGAAUACCAAGGCGCUUGAGAGAACUCGGGUGAAGGAACUAGGCAAAAUGGUGCCGUAACUUCGGGAGAAGGCACGCUGAUAUGUAGGUGAAGCGACUUGCUCGUGGAGCUGAAAUCAGUCGAAGAUACCAGCUGGCUGCAACUGUUUAUUAAAAACACAGCACUGUGCAAACACGAAAGUGGACGUAUACGGUGUGACGCCUGCCCGGUGCCGGAAGGUUAAUUGAUGGGGUCAGCGCAAGCGAAGCUCUUGAUCGAAGCCCCGGUAAACGGCGGCCGUAACUAUAACGGUCCUAAGGUAGCGAAAUUCCUUGUCGGGUAAGUUCCGACCUGCACGAAUGGCGUAAUGAUGGCCAGGCUGUCUCCACCCGAGACUCAGUGAAAUUGAACUCGCUGUGAAGAUGCAGUGUACCCGCGGCAAGACGGAAAGACCCCGUGAACCUUUACUAUAGCUUGACACUGAACAUUGAGCCUUGAUGUGUAGGAUAGGUGGGAGGCUUUGAAGUGUGGACGCCAGUCUGCAUGGAGCCGACCUUGAAAUACCACCCUUUAAUGUUUGAUGUUCUAACGUUGACCCGUGAUCCGGGUUGCGGACAGUGUCUGGUGGGUAGUUUGACUGGGGCGGUCUCCUCCUAAAGAGUAACGGAGGAGCACGAAGGUUGGCUAAUCCUGGUCGGACAUCAGGAGGUUAGUGCAAUGGCAUAAGCCAGCUUGACUGCGAGCGUGACGGCGCGAGCAGGUGCGAAAGCAGGUCAUAGUGAUCCGGUGGUUCUGAAUGGAAGGGCCAUCGCUCAACGGAUAAAAGGUACUCCGGGGAUAACAGGCUGAUACCGCCCAAGAGUUCAUAUCGACGGCGGUGUUUGGCACCUCGAUGUCGGCUCAUCACAUCCUGGGGCUGAAGUAGGUCCCAAGGGUAUGGCUGUUCGCCAUUUAAAGUGGUACGCGAGCUGGGUUUAGAACGUCGUGAGACAGUUCGGUCCCUAUCUGCCGUGGGCGCUGGAGAACUGAGGGGGGCUGCUCCUAGUACGAGAGGACCGGAGUGGACGCAUCACUGGUGUUCGGGUUGUCAUGCCAAUGGCACUGCCCGGUAGCUAAAUGCGGAAGAGAUAAGUGCUGAAAGCAUCUAAGCACGAAACUUGCCCCGAGAUGAGUUCUCCCUGACUCCUUGAGAGUCCUGAAGGAACGUUGAAGACGACGACGUUGAUAGGCCGGGUGUGUAAGCGCAGCGAUGCGUUGAGCUAACCGGUACUAAUGAACCGUGAGGC